GGUCCUAUGGGGUAGUGGUUAUCCCACCGGAUUUUGAUGAACAAUAUACAUACCCUGUAUAUGUAUGGGAAGAUCAAAUCUUCCGGUAACGCCGGUUCGAAUCCGGCUAGGACCU
rnacentral:tRNA from 1 species